AUAACUUCGGGAAACCGGAGCUAAUACCGGAUAAUAUAUUGAACCGCAUGGUUCAAUAGUGAAAGACGGUUUUGCUGUCACUUAUAGAUGGAUCCGCGCCGCAUUAGCUAGUUGGUAAGGUAACGGCUUACCAAGGCAACGAUGCGUAGCCGACCUGAGAGGGUGAUCGGCCACACUGGAACUGAGACACGGUCCAGACUCCUACGGGAGGCAGCAGCC
rnacentral:rRNA from 1 species